GACGAACGCUGGCGGCGUGCUUAACACAUGCAAGUCGAACGGAAAGGCCCUGCUUUUGUGGUGUGCUCGAGUGGCGAACGGGUGAGUAACACGUGAGUAACCUGCCCUUGACUUUGGGAUAACUUCAGGAAACUAGGGCUAAUACCGGAUAGGAGCUCCUGCUGCACGGUGGGGGGUGGAAAGGUUCGGCGGUUGGGGAUGGACUCGCGGCUUAUCAGCUUGUUGGUGGGGUAGUGGCUUACCACGGCUGUGACGGGUAGCCGGCCUGAGAGGGUGACCGGGCACCUUGGGACUGCGGUACGCAGCAGACUGCAACGGGGCGCAGCAGUGGGGAAUAUGGCGCAAUGGGCGGGAGCCUAAGGCGAAAGCGCCGGGGGUGGGAAGUCGGCCUUCGGGUUGUAAACCGAGUUCGGUUGAGACGAAGAGUGAGUGACGGUACUGGGUAAAGAAGCACCGGCUAACUACGUG
rnacentral:rRNA from 1 species